rnacentral:lncRNA from 1 species
AAGAGAAGAAUUGCAUUGAAUAAACACUGUUACAAGAGUAAUUCCACAGGAUAAGCAAGAUUACAUUAUAAACUACAUCCUAAGCUAUCCUUGAUCAUACCUCUAUGAGGAAGUUAGUUCCUCAUAGUGCUUCGAUUCACUCCAAGCUCCAACUCCAUGGCAAUUGCUUUCAUUUGGUUGAAUGUCUUGAAGCUAUCCACUUCGUUCCAGGAUCAGACCUUCUUGAUUGCUCCAAAUCUCAGAAUAUAGGAUAAACUGCAGCAAAAUUCGAACCCAGAACCAGAAAAAUGGCUUUUCCUUAUAUAAUAAUUGCAACCACGCCGCGCGUGGUUGCUCAUCUUCAUACUAAGCCGCGCGUGUAACUGCAUCACGCGACGCGUGAUCACAACAGAGGCCACCGGUCUUCAUCAUUCCUUAAUUACGCCGCGCGUGAUGGCUUCCACGCCCCCGGCGUAGUUCAAAACAUUCAUCACGCCGCGCGUGGUCCUUAUCACGCUGCGCGUGGUGAUAGCAGUGAAGAAUCAUUCUCUGGUCCAGGAAUUACGACGCGCGUGGACAAGUCCCCACGCCGCGCGUAAUAGAAAGUAGGAUUUUGUUAAAUAGAACUUUUCUGGGACUAAUAUCUGCUAGGAUUAAAAGUUUGACUGCUAAGAUUAAAAUAUUAUUAUUUAGAUAUUUUUAAGUAAAGAAUAUAAAACAUGGUUAAAAAUGAAUUAUAGUUGAAAACUAUUCAUGUUAAAAUAUUUUAUAUUCAUAUGAUUGAAAAGGUAUUGAGAUCAUACAUAACGAUUUUCUCUCUCUUUUAUUAAUUUUUUUUUUUGUUUUCUCAAAAGCUAACAAAAACAGCUAUUUCAUUUUAUAGAUAAAAGUCAUUUUAUGGAUCCGUACCAGCUAACCUACUCUUAGCUUGAAAUAACAUUUACAGGCCCCUCUUGUUUUCAAAAAGUCCUCACCUCACUUUGUAUUGUAACCACAUAAACUAUACUCUCAUGGGAUAGAAGACAUAUCAACCAAAUAUUGUUCCUCUUAUCUUAUAUUUAUAUUAAUCCACAAACUCAAAUGUUGAACAAGAACAGUACUAAACUGGACUGAUAAUAUUAUGUGAAAAUCAAAAAUUGGUUAGAGAUACAAAUUAGUUUAUGAUUUUUCAAAUUUGAAUUUGUUGGAUUUCAGAAAAACACUUGAACAAUCAAUUCACCACGCCUAACAAAAAAAUCUAAUAAGAAAAGUAUAUAAUAUAUUUAGUUCUUUGACAUAAAAAGUUAUGAAUAAAAUAUGAUUAGGCCUACUCUAAAAUGAUGAAGGAUAAAUAUCCUAAAUUAUCAAGGGGUAGUUUAAAAAAAACUUUAUUUUAAAGGUUAUUCUACUUAUGUGGUCUACUCCAUUUAGUUGUUGAGUAAAUAAUCCCAAAUUAUGUAGGAGUAGAGUAUAUCUCACCUUUAUUGAAAAGGAAAUUAGAGCUAGCAAAUCGUGGAGAAGUGGGAAAUUAUUGAGAGAUUAAUAGUAUUUCAAAGGGAUAUCUUUGACAUAAACGAUUAAUCUUCAAUCAUCAUGAGAGAGAAGAAAAGUGCAUGGACCAAAACAAAGGCAUGUUCUAUUAAAACAUAACCUCUUAAU